CCUACGGGAGGCAGCAGUGGGGGAUAUUGCACAAUGGGGGAAACCCUGAUGCAGCGACGCCGCGUGGGCGAAGAAGUAUUUCGGUAUGUAAAGCCCUAUCAGCAGGGAAGAAGAAAUGACGGUACCUGAGUAAGAAGCACCGGCUAAAUACGUGCCAGCAGCCGCGGUAAUACGUAUGGUGCAAGCGUUAUCCGGAUUUACUGGGUGUAAAGGGAGCGCAGGCGGCACGGCAAGCCUGAUGUGAAAGCCCGCGGCCCAACCGCGGGACUGCAUUGGGAACUACCGGGCUGGAGUGCCGGAGAGGUAGGCGGAAUUCCUAGUGUAGCGGUGAAAUGCGUAGAUAUUAGGAGGAACACCAGUGGCGAAGGCGGCUUACUGGACGGUGACUGACGCUGAGGCUCGAAAGCGUGGGGAGCAAACAGGAUUAGAUACCCGAGUAGUC
rnacentral:rRNA from 1 species